CGCCCUUGCAUAGGAAUGCUAGGAAUCACUCUGUGAAUCCUGGAUUCGGUGGUUAUCCAAGUUCAAAUCCUUUUGAUUCUGACAACAAAGAAACUAUAAAAUCUGUUCGGAGAACUUCGUCAGAGCCUUCUCCAGUUACCCCACAUUUGAGUACAAACACUUUUGAUGAUGAUGAUGAUAUUAAACAGACUCAUUCAUCUGCUUACUCCGUGACUUCAACAGAAAGAAAUAAAUACAAAAAUGAGUUCAGGGACUCUGGAGGAUUUGAGAACCAAACUGUACAGGAGUUGGAAAACUAUGCAGUACACAAGGCUGAAGAGACAACGAAAUCUGUUAACAAUUGCCUGAGGAUUGCAGAAGACAUCAGACAAGAU
rnacentral:misc_RNA from 1 species